AGCUUUGCUCAGGGGCAGUAUUGUAGCCAAUGAGGUUUUAUCCGAGGCGUGAUUAUUGCCAAUUGAAAACCCCUCACAGGAUGCUCUUCCAUUGUGGCUCGGGCAUCUGGCACAGUGUUUGGAACACAGUCGUCACUUAAUAAGCAAUUGUUGAAUGCAUGAUGGUAUG
rnacentral:snRNA from 1 species